GGCCAGUCGGAAGGUAGUGAGUUAUCUCAAUUGAUUGUUCACAUCAGUUACAGAUCAAACUCCUUGUUCUACUCUUUUCCCUUUUCUCACUACUGUACUGGGCUAGUCUAAU
ensembl:misc_RNA Y_RNA Y RNA